rnacentral:lncRNA from 1 species
GCAAUUGUGUCCAAUUGCAUUGAUCUUAACAGAGGUUAUUCUCCUUUGUUCUAGAAGGCAAUUUUCCAUUCACAGAAUCUGAGGUGACACUAAAUUAGAAUGGGAGAAUUUAGAACUUUCAAGCUUUGAAGAGAUCAUUUGGUCCAACCCUUUCAUUUGCCAGAGAAGGCAGUUGAAGCUCCAAGAGGGCCUGGAAUGAAUGUCAAGGGAGAGAACAGCAGCAAAACAGAGGCUUGAAGACAAGAGAUAGGAGGAUUUUCAACACUCUCCCCCAAGAUUAGAAGGUGUCCUAUAUCAUGGUCCCAUUUGGGACAGGAAGUGUCCUGUGUCACUGUUUUGUCCUCUUGUAGUCUGAUAUCAAAGGAUCAACC